AGCGUUAAUCGGAAUUACUGGGCGUAAAGCGCAUGCAGGUGGUUUGUUAAGUCAGAUGUGAAAGCCCGGGGCUCAACCUCGGAAUUGCAUUUGAAACUGGCAGACUAGAGUACUGUAGAGGGGGGUAGAAUUUCAGGUGUAGCGGUGAAAUGCGUAGAGAUCUGAAGGAAUACCGGUGGCGAAGGCGGCCCCCUGGACAGAUACUGACACUCAGAUGCGAAAGCGUGGGGAGCAAACAGGAUUAGAUACCCUGGUAGUCCACGCCGUAAACGAUGUCUACUUGGAGGUUGUGGCCUUGAGCCGUGGCUUUCGGAGCUAACGCGUUAAGUAGACCGCCUGGGGAGUACGGUCGCAAGAUUAAAACUCAAAUGAAUUGACGG
rnacentral:rRNA from 1 species